rnacentral:rRNA from 1 species
GUCCACGCUGUAAACGAUGUUAACUAGGUGUUGGAAGAAUUGACCCUUUCAGCGCCGCAGCUAACGCAUUAAGUGAACCGCCUGGGGAGUACGGUCGCAAGACUAAAACUCAAAGGAAUUGACGGGGGCCCCGCACAAGCGGUGGAGUAUGUGGUUUAAUUCGACGCAACGCGAAGAACCUUACCUGGACUAGACAUCAAGUGGAAGUUUUGCCCAAAAGUGAGACGUCCCCGCAAGGGGACUGCUUGACAGGUGCUGCAUGGCUGUCGU